rnacentral:tRNA from 1 species
GAAAGGAGUGAGUUUGAAUAAACACUUUACUUACACUAAAAAAAUACCCAGCGGGUAC